UGGACGCCGUCACCGCCGUCGUCUGCGUCACAGCGUCGUUGGCCACCGUCUGGUGCGUGUCUGAGGCCUACCUGCGAUACGUGUGCUCCAAACGCGUCGUCGAAGGAAUGUUACCCUCCAACGUGCCUCACUCGGUGCAGACCGGCUCUUACGGAACCUUGACCGACGCUUGCCAUGAGAUGACUCCGUCGUACCGCGAUGACCGGACCAUAAGCGUCGAUGGAUCGCCCGAAGUCGUGCUGAUCAUAGAAGACUCGAAACCCCCACCGUACGACCAGUGCAUCAUGCAAGAGUCUGAACCGCCGCCUUACGUGGAAUCCCUGCCGGGAGAGUGAACGGCGAGACUCAAGCGCGGGAACACUUGAUCACUGAUUUGCCUAAUAUAAGGCAUUAUCCGAGCAUGCCACUGUGACGCGGACGAACGUCCGGAGUUGAGGCUAGACUUCGCGAAGUCAGAAAUGACGUAACAGUGCCGUCACUUCCCCUCUCUUGCUUGCGCGCGCGCCUUGUAAGCGAAGCGGCGUCACCGUAUGACUGUCAUGUUCCAAACCCACGCCAUCGCCGUUUUCGCGCUAACGCGGGGCGUGUGUCGGAUCGUAAGUGCAAACUGUUACCGUGGCACUAUUUUGCAUAUAGGCCCAGCUACAAUCGCUCAAGUGCGUGCUAUUUUUUUUAAAGCGUCUUAACUCUUCACAUCGAAGCCCACAGCCAUGACGCCGUGCUGCUGAACUAAUAAAAGCUGCGAAUGAAUUAUAACGCAUGUGACUGCAGUUACGCCUAUUGCUGCCUAUUGCAGUUACGCAGUGUUUCACGAAAAAUCCAUCGCCACGAGUUAGGGACUGUAAGUGCAGAUACUAUAUAUACUCGAUUAGGUUUCCUUCACUAAACCAAACUGCUGUACGUAGGCUGUAAUGGUGAUGUUUUACUCAAAGUUAGCGUGCCUCUUGGACGUACACUACAACACUCAUACGUACAAUAGUACGAUACGUACAAUACGUACGAUGCCGCACAGUAGGCAACACUCAUUUUUAAGGGUGGUUUUUGUGCGCAUGACAACCGCCAACUGAGUCCCAAGUUGAACUAUGUUGGGGGCUGUGUCUAUAUAUGGAUACCCGCCGCCAACUUAGUUACUAUUAUUAUUAUUUUUUUUUUUUUUUUGCAGGUGCAAACGAUUCCCAACUUCAUUUAUUUCGUAAGCGACCGAUAAGUGCCAGAACGUGUUAAGAGCUUUUGUUGGAAAUGAAAGUUCCAUGAUUUGCAGUGAUAAAAUUGAACACGCUGUGCAAGAUUUAAAUAGCGAUUCCAACUUUAAAUCGGCACAGAAGGUCGUGAAAAACGGUAUGUUGCGGCAACCUACGGUGAAACUGGUAUGCUAUAGUGUUGUGUCUACCACCCCUUGUAAUGCUUGUGGUCAUGCAAGGAAAGCUUGGCUUGCGCUGCCUUAGAGGCAACGAGUAGAACGGCAGAGCCAUGGCGUAGUACGUCUCCGAGUUCGUGGAAUUCGCGCAUGCACGUGUAUGUUUUUCUACGCAUGUGAGCAUGGAGGAAUGAAAUAAAUCGGGAAGGAGCUUCCCAUCAAGCAGCCAACCUUCACAAGCCAGCUCUUCAUCAAGCCAUUCCCCUUCGCCUUUUCUCGCUCAAGCAGUCGGCCCAACGCGUCACCCUGCGCCCAACGAAGUCGGCACCGUGCAAACAUGCUUGUUUCCCGUUAGGUUUCAAUCGAUGCGCACUUGCUCUGGUGCUUUUCUAACCCCUAUGGCUGUCUUCCAAUACUCGCCGUGAACGACAAAGUAGACGUCUAAGCUGGCAGAGCUCAUCGUAAGUCUUGCUCCAAUUCUGACGAAGACUUCGAAGAAGGCGGCUUCGCGAAGGCAGCGUGGAAGUCGAAAACGGUGCAGGUUAUUUUCCCAUCUAAACAAGAUGGUGGCUCAGCAGGACGCUUGGAAACUCGACGGGAAAGGUCGUGUGCGCACAAGAAAUCAUAUGUAAUCAAGCUUACAUAUACGCCUGAUGUAAUUCACGUCGUGUUUUAUAUAGCUUCGUGCGCGCGCAAAUAGUUGCAAAUACGCAAAUAUGUGCGUUGUAUGGCUUCUUUUUUUCUUUCUUUUUUUCGUCGACGCGAGGUAGCGCCACGUCGAAGAGGCGCCUUCCCAUUGUCUUCGAGACGGUUCCAGACAGACGCGUUCCAUUACUGGGGCACGAAGCUGUCUCCUUAGCUGCCUACGUCUCCAGUGCUGGCCAGAAGUGGAACACAACCUAUGUGCACUUUUCUCCCGAUAAGUUUGCGCAACCUCAGUCGUUUGUAUUGACGUAUACGUUUAUCCCCUCCGCUGCAACGUGUGAAACCGCAAGUUGCUGUGGCACCCGUUCUUUUUUCGUAAGUGCCAGCGCUGAGCGCGGCUGGCGCAACAGUGGAAUACACUAAAGACACUGAUCCAGGGAAAACACGGAGAAUGCGUGAGAUGGAAAUUCAAGACCAUGAGCAAAACGAGAACAAGCUGAAAGCCGGAGCUAAUGUUUCAACAAGUAGACUUGUCUUUUUCAAGGCAUGUCAUCAAGGCAUGUCAUCAAAGACACGAUGACACUGCGAUUACACUGAUGACAUUUAGAAGACGUUGAUAAAGGGUGGCAGCAGCGGCAAGCUAGCGAAAGCUUCGUGUUGAUUCUCGCUUCAAGACGUCUCCGAAACUUGAUUACGCAAGCUCCAACACUAGGCUCGUGAGAUUAUCGCGUGGUUUUGUCGUGACGUCAUGACGUCAUCAUUACGUGGGAGCGACUCUUUGGCGCUCACAUCCUUUUCUGAUUUUCAUUGCGAGGCCGGCUGCAGCAUAGCAGACGACUACGCGAGCUGCAGCGAGUAUCAACACGUCGAGAUGUUCUACUACCAUGUGACUACCUUUUGCGUCGUGACGUCACAAUUGUGAUCUGCGAAACGAAACCGAGACUGUCUCUAGAAAUCUAUUAUAUUAAACAUUUUGGAGCUCUAGGUUGCCGAGAUUUUUAACACGAAAGUGUUCUCUGCCGAUCUCCAGCGAAAGUCUGUCCAUUUACGUCAAUCAUCAUUCAGCUAAUUUCCUGGCAUUAUCGCGAGAUGGCGCUACAUUGCCAAUUUGUGUAAUUAGGUUGGUGCGGCAUUUAUCCAUCCAUCGUGCAGUGUCCUUGUACAAGAUCUUAAAGUACAGUGUACCCAAAGGGGGCAGAGUUGCGCUUAGUAUAGCGCCCCUCCAUACACUAGGUCAUUCCACGCGCAACGUCCCAGACCCCAAAAGAGACCAUAUCCGAUUCCCUUGAAAAAACUUGGGACUAGUUGGUAAAUAGAACUGCGAGCAUUUCUUCCAAGAAACAUAAUUUUAGUCUUCCUUUGGUGUCUCUUCGAUGCAGAAUUGCACGUCAAGCACUAUUUCAUGAUUUAUCAUCAUCCUACACUCCACACGCAAUUCUUUACAAGACCCCAUUAUGUAUCACAGCGUGUUGAUCACUGUCAUAAAGUUGGCACCUAUCUCUGCCACACAAAGCAUUUUUCCCAGUCUUUUUUCCCUCGCACAUGUAUAGAUUGGAACCACCUUCCCGCUGAUGUCGUAACUACUACUGAUAAGAGCCUUUUUCUUGAAACUUUAGCUAACAUUGUAUAACUAGGAAUUUCUUUUUUCUGACACAGCAGCUAACAUUGUAUAGAAAGAAACCUCUUGUAUUCUAGCAUUGUGUUUUGUUCAUAUUAAUCGCUGCGUUUUGUCUACUUCCGUUGUACCACAUGUUCUUUUGUACCUGCCUGUAAUGCCUCUGGCCCUGAGAGUAUGAUAAAUAAUAAAAAAUUAAUCGUGUGAACAAGGUUUCACGAAACUAUUUCUCACGAAAAAAAAAAUUGGUGACGUACGCGUUCUUUGGAAUUUUCGCAAAGAAGCAAAAGUUGGUUGGAGGCAAAUGUUUUAAUCAAGUGUGGAACUAGGUACAAUGUCAAAUCGUAUUUAGAAUAUUCUACUGGCGUGGUUCUUUCAUGUGACGUCGUACGCGCUUUGAAAAAGACAAGCCCACUUCUCGAAACGUUGGCUCCUGCUUUUACCAUGUUCUCGUUUUGCUGAUCGUCUUGAAUUGGCCCCGUAAAAAAAAAAAAAUAUUGUGCGUCUCCAGAUUUAUUGCAUAAAAAUAUUUUGUUCCAGCCAUAAUACUUUCUUACUAUAUUUUCCCGUCGCUAUAGUUUCUGUUAGAAAUGAUGUUCUACUAUGAAAUCAAAUACUUUUCCCCAAAAUUACUUCCGAGUUGUCAAAUAGUCACUUUCUGAUUAUAUGUUCAGACCUAAGCUAAACAUUAAGGCCUUCCAGAUAAAAAAAUAUGCGUUUGAUAGCUCAAUAUUUGCACCAGCCUUUCAGCUUGUGAUUUAGAAAUUCUGAUUCGAGUAAAUUUUGUUUUAAGCAAGAAAAAUAUUGAAGUUCACAACCAAUUUGACGGAGAUUUCCUCCAUUCACCUGGGCCAGUGUUUUCGUGACUACACCAAAUCUUUCCUCGCGGAUCGCAAGACACACCUCCGACUAGGCACGGUCUCGGGAGGACCCUACGAGCCAGGCACCUGCGGCAGCCCGCAUGGUUCAGUCCUCUCCCCUCUCUUAUUCAACACAGCCAGCUCUCCACUCGCCUCGCCGAAAUCCCGAACGUGGGUCACGCCAUUUAUGCGGACAUCACGAUCUGGGCGCCUGGCGGAUCGCUAGUCAUGCUCGAACACUCGUAACAAAGCGCGUUGGAAGCUACGGAAGACUAUUUCAAGCAUGGCCCUUGAAUACACAUAGGGAAAUUCUGCAUAACCCAAAUACCCUGUCCAAAUCUUAUCACCUAUCAUCUUAUCACAAUAUCCCCUUACGCAUAACAGACUUAGAACACCUAUGUUUAGAACCAAAUGGGGUAUUCAGGCACUCGCCCUACCUAGUACCUCAUUUCCUAAAUAAUAAUCGAGAAAUCGCUACUAUGAUUCAGGAAUGCAGGUCUGCUUACAGUCUAAAGAAAAAGGUUAGGAAUUAUCUUUUGCUAAGCUCCUAGUGAUACUUAAAUGUCCUUGCGGUCUCGAUAACUCUUUUAGUCGUUUUUUCUCUUACAUUUUUUAUCCUACUUGCUAUAUAAUGUUUUGUAACACCGAUCAUUAUUAUUAGUAUUAUUUGCUUGUUUAAAUAUUUCCUUGUUCUCGCGCAUUACUGAUGAUAUAUUAUGUGUAAAGUGUAAAAUCUUACUUCUUUCUAUACUUGAUUGCUUGCCGCACACAUUUUGUUCCUUUUCUUGUUUCUACAUUGUUGCACUGUAUUUUCAUGAUGUUCCACCCCCUGAGCAAUGUACGGGUAGGGGGGCCUUUGUCAGGCAGUUGCAUCUGCCUUUAGCCCUUACAUCCAAAAAAAUGUAUUCUCUAAAUACAUUUUUAUCGCCACCCAUACAAGCGAGGAUGCCAUAGUGGUCUUCACCGACUCUCAAACAGCGGCACGCAACUACAUGAAAGGCAGGGUCUCCACCAAAGCGAUCAACUUACUGAAACGUGGCGAUACUCCUCCCCCCUACACCUGCAUCAUGUGGGUUCCGGGACACGAGGGACUCGAGGGGAAUGAAGCGGCACACACCGCGGCCCGCGCAAGCGUCAACCGGGCUUCCCCGCACGGUAUUCGAGAAAGGUCCCACCCACACAAAUCAGCGGAGGAAACGGAAACAAUACCGUUAACUUACCAAGCACUACUACAACACUAUCGGCUUGGACGCAGGGUGUACCCUCCACCACAUCCCAAACUAACAAGAAACGAAGGCACCGACUACAGGCGACUCCAGAGCAAUACAUUUACCCACGGAAUCUUGCUGCAUCACUUCCACCCGACGCUAUACAGCUACACCUGUCCACACUGCAACGUGCCUGACACCCUGGCGCACCUCCUCCUGCAAUGCAAGAUCACCCGAGAAAGCAUCACAGCGACACAACUAAUAGCAGCAGACGCAGAUCCAAACCACCUCGCUGAAACGUGGGAGGCUGCGAUCUCCAAGCCGGACCUGGUCGACCAGCGCGAACUAGUCGCCCGGGCCCGGAGGGCGAUCCAAGCCAGAGGGCUCCUGGAAUAAGGGACCCUCCCACGUCGACUGACAAAUCACUACUUCAAAUAAAAGUUUCAUUCUCUCUC